rnacentral:rRNA from 1 species
GGAGUUAGCCGGUGCUUCUUCUGUGAGUGAUGUCCUUCCUGCCGGCUAUUAACCCGCAGGCCUUCUUCCUCACUGAAAGUGCUUUACAACCCGAAGGCCUUCUUCACACACGCGGCAUGGCUGGAUCAGGGUUGCCCCCAUUGUCCAAUAUUCCCCACUGCUGCCUCCCGUAGGAGUCUGGGCCGUGUCUCAGUCCCAGUGUGGCUGAUCAUCCUCUCAGACCAGCUACGGAUCGUCGCCUUGGUGAGCCGUUACCUCACCAACCAGCUAAUCCGACAUAGGCUCAUCCGAUAGCGCGAGGCCCGAAGGUCCCCCGCUUUCCCCCGUAGGGCGUAUGCGGUAUUAGCCUGGGUUUCCCCAGGUUAUCCCCCACUACCGGGCAGAUUCCUAUGCAUUACUCACCCGUCCGCCGCUCGCCACCAGGGAGCAAGCUCCCCGUGCUGCCGCUCGACAUGCAUGUGUUAGGCCUGCCGCCAGCGUUCAAUCUGAGCCAUAAUCAAACUCUGA